GCAAAAUACCCAAGCAGGGCCCAUGAAAAUCUUGAAAUGAAAAUGGUGGAAUAUGUUGGGUAGAAUUUAAAUUUCCCUUCUCUCUUUCUGGGAAUAUCUGAGGAUGUGAAUUUAAGGGCUUCUGGCAGCCAUGUGUUCUGUCCCUAACCUCUCACUCCACUCCCACCAGUGGAAAAGAACAUGGGCAACAUACAAGAGAGAACUAGAACAAGAGGUAGUGUGAGGAGCAAGACCAAGGAAGAGAGUGCAUGCAAGAAACAGCUGAGCAGACAGACAGACCCAUCUGAUUCUAGUUAUCCCAAAGAUGAGGAGAACAAGACACAGACUGAGUACCUUGUUCACUGUCCACAGCUGGUCACGGAAGGACUUAAGGAAGCUGUUGUGAAGCAAUUGGCCUUGCUAUAGAAGCUUAAACCACAAAGAACUGUGAGCUAAGUCCUAGGAGCUAAGGGUAGCUUCCAGAAAAAAGCUAAAGCCUUAGUCCUAACCCAGCAAGGAAAUGAAGUCUGCCAACAACCUGAGGGACUUCAGGAGUGGGUCUUUCCCCAGUCAAGGCUCUGAUGAGACUGCAGUACUGGCUGACACAUAGAUUCCAGCCUGGUGAGACCCUGAAGCCUAACACUUAGUUAAGCUAUGCCUGGACUCUUGACCCACAGAAACUUUGAGAUAAUAAAUGUGUAUUGUUUUAAGCUGUUAAGUAUGUGGCAAUUUA
rnacentral:lncRNA from 1 species